rnacentral:rRNA from 1 species
UGGGGAAUAUUGGACAAUGGGGGCAACCCUGAUCCAGCCAUGCCGCGUGUGUGAAGAAGGCCUUCGGGUUGUAAAGCACUUCAAGCUGGGAGGAAGGUUUCUUGGCUAAUAUCCAAGAGAAUUGACGUUACCAGCAGAAUAAGCACCGGCUAACUCCGUGCCAGCAGCCGCGGUAAUACGGCGGGUGCAAGCGUUAAUCGGAAUUACUGGGCGUAAAGCGCGCGUAGGCGGCUUGAUAAGUCGGAUGUGAAAUCCCUGGGCUCAACCUGGGAACUGCAUUCGAUACUGUCUGGCUAGAGUGUGGGAGAGGGUGGUGGAAUUCCCGGUGUAGCGGUGAAAUGCGUAGAUAUCGGGAGGAACAUCAGUGGCGAAGGCGACCGCCUGGCCCAACACUGACGCUGAGGUGCGAAAGCGUGGGUAGCAAAC